AUUGAACGCUGGCGGCAUGCCUUACACAUGCAAGUCGAACGGCAGCGGGGACUUCGGGCCGCCGGCGAGUGGCGAACGGGUGAGUAAAGCAUCGGAACGUACCCUUCAGUGGGGGAUAACUAUCCGAAAGGAUAGCUAAUACCGCAUAUGCUCUGAGGAGGAAAGCGGGGGACGUUAGGGCCUCGCGCUGAUGGAGCGGCCGAUGUCAGAUUAGCUAGUUGGUGAGGUAAAGGCUCACCAAGGCGACGAUCUGUAGCGGGUCUGAGAGGAUGAUCCGCCACACUGGGACUGAGACACGGCCCAGACUCCUACGGGAGGCAGCAGUGGGGAAUUUUGUACAAUGGGGGCAACACUGAUCCAGCCAUGCCGCGUGAGUGAAGAAGGCCUUCGGGUUGUAAAGCUCUUUCGGCCGGGAAGAAAUCGCACAGGCUAAUACUCUGUGUGGAUGACGGUACCGGAAUAAGAAGCACCGGCUAACUACGUGCCAGCCGCCGCCGUAA
rnacentral:rRNA from 1 species